rnacentral:lncRNA from 1 species
AGGACCGUUGGAUUUGCAUCAAGUGGAAAUUCUAGUGAGAAAAGAGAAAGUCAAUAUAAAAUUGUGAUGUGACGACUGACGUAUGGACGACACGACGUGAUGAUGACACAAAAAUUGGAGGCACGCCACCCAAACAAUGGUGGCACAUAGCCAAAGCAACAGUGACAUGCCGCCCAAGUAACGGUGGCACAUUGCCUAAACUGGCGACAGC